CCUACGGGUGGCAGCAGUGGGGAAUAUUGGACAAUGGGGGCAACCCUGAUCCAGCGACGCCGCGUGAGUGAAGAAGUAUUUAGGUAUGUAAAGCUCCAUCAGCAGGGAAGAAAAUGACGGUACCUGACUAGGAAGCCACGGCUAACUAGGUGCCAGCAGCCGCGGCAAUACGUAGGGGGCAAGCGUUAUCCGGAUUUACUGGGUGUAAAGGGGGCGUAGGCGGUGCAGCAAGUCUGAUGUGAAAGGCCGGGGCCAAACCCCGGGACUGCAUUGGAAACUGUUGAGCUGGAGUAUAGGAGCGGUAGGCGGAAUGCAUGGUGUAGCGGCGAAAUGCAUAGAGAUUAGACAGAACACCAGUGGCGAAGGCAGCUUACUAAACUGUGACUGACGUUGAGGCUCGAAAGCGUGGGGAGCAAACAGGAUUAGAUACCCGUGUAGUC
rnacentral:rRNA from 1 species